UGUUCAAACAAGAACUUCCAAUGUGUCGUGAACGUAACCAAACAAUCACACACACAAACCACAAGAGAAAACACAAAGAUUUAUGUGGUUCAGAGGAAAAACCUCCUACUUCCAUGGAGAGAGUACCGAGAGAAAUCACUAUGUAAUAGAGAAAUAAAUACAGAGAAUUGAUCUUACACCACACUGAUCGUUCUCCAAGAGAGAUACCAAACUUCGUACUUCUCUUCCAGCACUCC
rnacentral:lncRNA from 1 species